UGUGAGCUCGAUGAGUAGGGCGGGACACGUGGUAUCCUGUCUGAAUAUGGGGGGACCAUCCUCCAAGGCUAAAUACUCCUGACUGACCGAUAGUGAACCAGUACCGUGAGGGAAAGGCGAAAAGAACCCCGGCGAGGGGAGUGAAAAAGAACCUGAAACCGUGUACGUACAAGCAGUGGGAGCACGCUUAGGCGUGUGACUGCGUACCUUUUGUAUAAUGGGUCAGCGACUUAUAUUCUGUAGCAAGGUUAACCGAAUAGGGGAGCCGAAGGGAAACCGAGUCUUAACUGGGCGUUAAGUUGCAGGGUAUAGACCCGAAACCCGGUGAUCUAGCCAUGGGCAGGUUGAAGGUUGGGUAACACUAACUGGAGGACCGAACCGACUAAUGUUGAAAAAUUAGCGGAUGACUUGUGGCUGGGGGUGAAAGGCCAAUCAAACCGGGAGAUAGCUGGUUCUCCCCGAAAGCUAUUUAGGUAGCGCCUCGUGAAUUCAUCUCCGGGGGUAGAGCACUGUUUCGGCAAGGGGGUCAUCCCGACUUACCAACCCGAUGCAAACUGCGAAUACCGGAGAAUGUUAUCACGGGAGACACACGGCGGGUGCUAACGUCCGUCGUGAAGAGGGAAACAACCCAGACCGCCAGCUAAGGUCCCAAAGUCAUGGUUAAGUGGGAAACGAUGUGGGAAGGCCCAGACAGCCAGGAUGUUGGCUUAGAAGCAGCCAUCAUUUAAAGAAAGCGUAAUAGCUCACUGGUCGAGUCGGCCUGCGCGGAAGAUGUAACGGGGCUAAACCAUGCACCGAAGCUGCGGCAGCGACGCUUAUGCGUUGUUGGGUAGGGGAGCGUUCUGUAAGCCUGUGAAGGUGUGCUGUGAGGCAUGCUGGAGGUAUCAGAAGUGCGAAUGCUGACAUAAGUAACGAUAAAGCGGGUGAAAAGCCCGCUCGCCGGAAGACCAAGGGUUCCUGUCCAACGUUAAUCGGGGCAGGGUGAGUCGACCCCUAAGGCGAGGCCGAAAGGCGUAGUCGAUGGGAAACAGGUUAAUAUUCCUGUACUUGGUGUUACUGCGAAGGGGGGACGGAGAAGGCUAUGUUGGCCGGGCGACGGUUGUCCCGGUUUAAGCGUGUAGGCUGGUUUUCCAGGCAAAUCCGGAAAAUCAAGGCUGAGGCGUGAUGACGAGGCACUACGGUGCUGAAGCAACAAAUGCCCUGCUUCCAGGAAAAGCCUCUAAGCAUCAGGUAACAUCAAAUCGUACCCCAAACCGACACAGGUGGUCAGGUAGAGAAUACCAAGGCGCUUGAGAGAACUCGGGUGAAGGAACUAGGCAAAAUGGUGCCGUAACUUCGGGAGAAGGCACGCUGAUAUGUAGGUGAAGUCCCUUGCGGAUGGAGCUGAAAUCAGUCGAAGAUACCAGCUGGCUGCAACUGUUUAUUAAAAACACAGCACUGUGCAAACACGAAAGUGGACGUAUACGGUGUGACGCCUGCCCGGUGCCGGAAGGUUAAUUGAUGGGGUCAGCGCAAGCGAAGCUCUUGAUCGAAGCCCCGGUAAACGGCGGCCGUAACUAUAACGGUCCUAAGGUAGCGAAAUUCCUUGUCGGGUAAGUUCCGACCUGCACGAAUGGCGUAAUGAUGGCCAGGCUGUCUCCACCCGAGACUCAGUGAAAUUGAACUCGCUGUGAAGAUGCAGUGUACCCGCGGCAAGACGGAAAGACCCCGUGAACCUUUACUAUAGCUUGACACUGAACAUUGAGCCUUGAUGUGUAGGAUAGGUGGGAGGCUUUGAAGUGUGGACGCCAGUCUGCAUGGAGCCGACCUUGAAAUACCACCCUUUAAUGUUUGAUGUUCUAACGUGGACCCGUGAUCCGGGUUGCGGACAGUGUCUGGUGGGUAGUUUGACUGGGGCGGUCUCCUCCUAAAGAGUAACGGAGGAGCACGAAGGUUGGCUAAUCCUGGUCGGACAUCAGGAGGUUAGUGCAAUGGCAUAAGCCAGCUUGACUGCGAGCGUGACGGCGCGAGCAGGUGCGAAAGCAGGUCAUAGUGAUCCGGUGGUUCUGAAUGGAAGGGCCAUCGCUCAACGGAUAAAAGGUACUCCGGGGAUAACAGGCUGAUACCGCCCAAGAGUUCAUAUCGACGGCGGUGUUUGGCACCUCGAUGUCGGCUCAUCACAUCCUGGGGCUGAAGUAGGUCCCAAGGGUAUGGCUGUUCGCCAUUUAAAGUGGUACGCGAGCUGGGUUUAGAACGUCGUGAGACAGUUCGGUCCCUAUCUGCCGUGGGCGCUGGAGAACUGAGGGGGGCUGCUCCUAGUACGAGAGGACCGGAGUGGACGCAUCACUGGUGUUCGGGUUGUCAUGCCAAUGGCACUGCCCGGUAGCUAAAUGCGGAAGAGAUAAGUGCUGAAAGCAUCUAAGCACGAAACUUGCCCCGAGAUGAGUUCUCCCUGACCCUUUAAGGGUCCUGAAGGAACGUUGAAGACGACGACGUUGAUAGGCCGGGUGUGUAAGCGCAGCGAUGCGUUGAGCUAACCGGUACUAAUGAACCGUGAGGCUUAACCUU
rnacentral:rRNA from 1 species